GACGAACGCUGGCGGCGUGCUUAACACAUGCAAGUCGAACGAUGAACCCGGAGCUUGCUCCGGCGGAUUAGUGGCGAACGGGUGAGUAACAUGUGAGUAACCUGCCCUUGACUCUGGGAUAACUGCGGGAAACUGUAGCUAAUACCGGAUACGACCCUCGGCGGCAUCGCCAGGGGGUGGAAAGAAUUUCGGUCAAGGAUGGACUCGCGGCCUAUCUGCUAGUUGGUGAGGUAACGGCUUACCAAGGCGACGACGGGUAGCCGGCCUGAGAGGGUGACCGGCCACACUGGGACUGAGACACGGCCCAGACUCCUACGGGAGGCAGCAGUGGGGAAUAUUGCACAAUGGGCGCAAGCCUGAUGCAGCAACGCCGCGUGAGGGAUGACGGCCUUCGGUUGUAAACCUCUUUUAGUAGGGAAGAAGCGAAAGUGACGGUACCUGCAGAAAAAGCACCGGCUAACUACGUGCCAGCAGCCGCGGUAA
rnacentral:rRNA from 1 species